rnacentral:rRNA from 1 species
AUUGAACGCUGGCGGCAGGCCUAACACAUGCAAGUCGAGCGAGCGGCGGACUGGUGAGUAAUUUAUUGGGAUCUGCCCGAUCGAGGGGGAUAACUACUGGAAACGGUGGCUAAUACCGCAUACUAUCGGAUGAACCCAUAGGGGAUUAGCUAGUGGGUGGGGUAAAGGCUCACCUAGGCGACGAUCUCGAGCUGGUCUGAGAGGAUGAUCGGCCACACUGGGACUGAGACACGGCCCAGACUCCUACGGGAGGCAGCAGUGGGGAAUAGUGCACAAUGGGCGAAAGCCUGAUGCAGCCAUGCCGCGUGAAUGAAGAAGGCCUUAGGGUUGUAAAGCACUGUCGGCAGGGAGGCGUUAUCCGAAGAGGAAGCACCGGCUAACUCCGUGCCAGCAGCCGCGGUAAUUC